rnacentral:rRNA from 1 species
GGGUAGCUACGUCUGGCAAAGAUAACCGCUGAAAGCAUCUAAGUGGGAAACUUGCCUUAAGAUUAGAUCACUUUUAUCGUCAAGAUAGUAAGAUCGCAGGUAGACCACCUGCUUGAUAGGCAGUAUGUGUUAGUGCAGCAAUGCAUUGAGCUAAACUGUACUAAUGAUCGAGGGCUUC